rnacentral:rRNA from 1 species
ACGAACGCUGGCGGCGCGCCUAACACAUGCAAGUCGAACGAGCGAGAGAGAGCUUGCUUUCUCGAGCGAGUGGCGAACGGGUGAGUAACGCGUGAGGAACCUGCCUCAAAGAGGGGGACAACAGUUGGAAACGACUGCUAAUACCGCAUAAGCCCACGGCUCGGCAUCGAGCAGAGGGAAAAGGAGCAAUCCGCUUUGAGAUGGCCUCGCGUCCGAUUAGCUAGUUGGUGAGGUAACGGCCCACCAAGGCGACGAUCGGUAGCCGGACUGAGAGGUUGAACGGCCACAUUGGGACUGAGACACGGCCCAGACUCCUACGGGAGGCAGCAGUGGGGAAUAUUGCACAAUGGGGGAAACCCUGAUGCAGCGACGCCGCGUGGAGGAAGAAGGUCUUCGGAUUGUAAACUCCUGUUGUUGGGGAAGAUAAUGACGGUACCCAACAAGGAAGUGACGGCUAACUACGUGCCAGCAGCCGCGGUAAAACGUAGGUCACAAGCGUUGUCCGGAAUUACUGGGUGUAAAGGGAGCGCAGGCGGGAAGACAAGUUGGAAGUGAAAUCUAUGGGCUCAACCCAUAAACUGCUUUCAAAACUGUUUUUCUUGAGUAGUGCAGAGGUAGGCGGAAUUCCCGGUGUAGCGGUGGAAUGCGUAGAUAUCGGGAGGAACACCAGUGGCGAAGGCGGCCUACUGGGCACCAACUGACGCUGAGGCUCGAAAGUGUGGGUAGCAAACAGGAUUAGAUACCCUGGUAGUCCACACCGUAAACGAUGAUUACUAGGUGUUGGAGGAUUGACCCCUUCAGUGCCGCAGUUAACACAAUAAGUAAUCCACCUGGGGAGUACGACCGCAAGGUUGAAACUCAAAGGAAUUGACGGGGGCCCGCACAAGCGGAGGAACAUGUGGUUUAAUUCGAUGAUACGCGAGGAACCUUACCCGGGUUUGAACGCAUUCGGACCGAGGUGGAAACACCUUUUCUAGCAAUAGCCGUUUGCGAGGUGCUGCAUGGUUGUCGUCAGCUCGUGUCGUGAGAUGUUGGGUUAAGUCCCGCAACGAGCGCAACCCUUAUGGUCAGUUACUACGCAAGAGGACUCUGGCCAGACUGCCGUUGACAAAACGGAGGAAGGUGGGGAUGACGUCAAAUCAUCAUGCCCUUUAUGACUUGGGCUACACACGUACUACAAUGGCGUUAAACAAAGAGAAGCAAGACCGCGAGGUGGAGCAAAACUCAGAAACAACGUCCCAGUUCGGACUGCAGGCUGCAACUCGCCUGCACGAAGUCGGAAUUGCUAGUAAUCGUGGAUCAGCAUGCCACGGUGAAUACGUUCCCGGGCCUUGUACACACCGCCCGUCACACCAUGAGAGCCGGGGGGACCCGAAGUCGGUAGUCUAACCGCAAGGAGGACGCCGCCGAAGGUAAAACUGGUGAUUGGGGUG